rnacentral:rRNA from 1 species
CCUACGGGAGGCAGCAGUGGGGAAUUUUGGACAAUGGGCGCAAGCCUGAUCCAGCAAUGCCGCGUGAGUGAAGAAGGCCUUCGGGUUGUAAAGCUCUUUUGUCAGGGAAGAAACGGUCUACUCUAAUACAGUGGGCUAAUGACGGUACCUGAAGAAUAAGCACCGGCUAACUACGUGCCAGCAGCCGCGGUAAUACGUAGGGUGCAAGCGUUAAUCGGAAUUACUGGGCGUAAAGCGUGCGCAGGCGGUUAUAUAAGUCAGAUGUGAAAUCCCCGGGCUCAACCUGGGAACUGCAUUUGAGACUGUAUGGCUAGAGUGUGUCAGAGGGGGGUAGAAUUCCACGUGUAGCAGUGAAAUGCGUAGAUAUGUGGAGGAAUACCGAUGGCGAAGGCAGCCCCCUGGGAUAACACUGACGCUCAUGCACGAAAGCGUGGGGAGCAAACAGGAUUAGAUACCCUGGUAGUCCACGCCCUAAACGAUGUCUACUAGUUGUCGGGACUUAAUUGUCUUGGUAACGCAGCUAACGCGUGAAGUAGACCGCCUGGGGAAGUACGGUGCAAGAUUAAAACCGUUAAAGGAAUUGACGG